UACGAAGGGGGCUAGCGUUGUUCGGAAUUACUGGGCGUAAAGCGUAUGCAGGCGGAUCAUUAAGUCGGGGGUGAAAUCCCGAGGCUCAACCUCGGAACUGCCUUCGAUACUGAUGAUCUUGAGUCCGGGAGAGGUGAGUGGAACUGCGAGUGUAGAGGUGAAAUUCGUAGAUAUUCGCAAGAACACCAGUGGCGAAGGCGGCUCACUGGCCCGGUACUGACGCUGAGAUACGAAAGCGUGGGGAGCGAACAGG
rnacentral:rRNA from 1 species